rnacentral:rRNA from 1 species
AGGGUUUGAUCAUGGCUCAGGACGAACGCUGGCGGCGUGCCUAAUACAUGCAAGUGGAACGCAUGAUUGAUACCGGAGCUUGCUCCACCAUUAAUCAUGAGUCGCGAACGGGUGAGUAACGCGUAGGUAACCUACCUCAUAGCGGGGGAUAACUAUUGGAAACGAUAGCUAAUACCGCAUAACAGUAUUUAUCGCAUGGUAAAUGCUUGAAAGGAGCAACUGCUUCACUAUGAGAUGGACCUGCGUUGUAUUAGCUAGUUGGUGGGGUAACGGCUCACCAAGGCAUCGAUACAUAGCCGACCUGAGAGGGUGAUCGGCCACACUGGGACUGAGACACGGCCCAGACUCCUACGGGAGGCGGCAGUAGGGAAUCUUCGGCAAUGGGGGGAACCCUGACCGAGCAACGCCGCGUGAGUGAAGAAGGUUUUCGGAUCGUAAAGCUCUGUUGUAAGAGAAGAACGUGUGUGAGAGUGGAAAGUUCACACAGUGACGGUAACUUACCAGAAAGGGACGGCUAACUACGUGCCAGCCGCCGCGGUAAUAC